UACGUAGGGCGCAAGCGUUGUCCGGAAUUAUUGGGCGUAAAGGGCUCGUAGGCGGCGUGUCGCGUCGGGGAGUGAAAGCCCGCUGCUUAACGGCGGGUUGGCUUCCGGUACGGGCAUCGCUGGAGUGCGGCAGGGGAGACUGGAAUUCCUGGUGUAGCGGUGGAAUGCGCAGAUAUCAGGAGGAACACCGGUGGCGAAGGCAGGUCUCUGGGCCGAUACUGACGCUGAGGAGCGAAAGCGUGGGGAGCGAACAGG
rnacentral:rRNA from 1 species